GUUCAACUCCGGCGGCGGCGCCGCCACCCUUGGGCGGCCGGCCACCACGCCGGAGGAACAAACCUCACCGGAGAAGAUGAAGAUCAUCCUCCAUAUGCGGUUUCCGGCGAGAGAGAGGGAGGAGAGAAGUGAGAGCUUCUCUCACUAGAAUGAGAGAAGAGAGAGAAAGGAGAGGAAGAAAUGGAAAAAAACCGGUCCAUAAGCCUUUAUAUAAACAACUGAACCGGUCCGGUUUAUUUCUGGUUCUU
rnacentral:lncRNA from 1 species